GACGUAGGGCGCGAGCGUUGUCCGGAUUUAUUGGGCGUAAAGAGCUCGUAGGCGGCUUGUCGCGUCGAAUGUGAAAUCUCAGGGCUCAACUCUGACAUUGCAUUCGAUACGGGCAGGCUAGAGUUCGGUAGGGGAGACUGGAAUUUCUGGUGUAGCGGUGAAAUGCGCAGAUAUCAGGAGGAACACCGGUGGCGAAGGCGGGUCUCUGGGCAAUUCCUGACGCUGAGGCGCGAAAGCGUGGGGAGCAAACGGG
rnacentral:rRNA from 1 species